UACGUAGGGUGCGAGCGUUGUCCGGAAUUAUUGGGCGUAAAGCGCGUGUAGGCGGCUUGGCAAGUCCGCUGUGAAAACUCGAGGCUCAACCUCGAGAUGUCGGUGGAAACUGCCUGGCUAGAGUCCGGAAGAGGAGUGUGGAAUUCCUGGUGUAGCGGUGAAAUGCGCAGAUAUCAGGAAGAACACCUAUGGCGAAGGCAGCACUCUGGGACGGUACUGACGCUGAGACGCGAAAGCGUGGGGAGCGAACAGG
rnacentral:rRNA from 1 species